rnacentral:rRNA from 1 species
ACUCAAAGGAAUUGACGGGGGCCCGCACAAGCGGUGGAUCAUGUGGUUUAAUUCGAAGCAACGCGCAGAACCUUACCUAGGUUUGACAUCCCUCUGAAUAUUUUUAGAGAUAGAGAUAGGCUCGCAAGAGACAGAGGAGACAGGUGCUGCAUGGCUGUCGUCAGCUCGUGUUGUGAAAUGUUGGGUUAAGUCCCGCAACGAGCGCAACCCCUGUGUUUGGUUGCCAUCAUCUAAGGUGGGCACUCCAGACAGACUGCCGUCGUUAAGACGGAGGAAGGUGGGGAUGACGUCAAGUCCUCAUGGCCUUUAUAUCUAGGGCGACACACGUGAUACAAUGGUAGGUACAAAGGGCAGCCAAGUGGAGACACGGAGCUAAUCUCAAAAAACCUAUCUCAGUUCGGAUUGAAGUCUGCAACUCGACUUCAUGAAGUUGGAAUCGCUAGUAAUCGUGGAUCAGAACGCCACGGUGAAUACGUUCCCGGGCCUUGUACACACCGCCCGU